GACGAACGCUGGCGGCGUGCUUAACACAUGCAAGUCGAACGGUAAGGCCCUUCGGGGUACACGAGUGGCGAACGGGUGAGUAACACGUGGGUGAUCUGCCCUUGACUUUGGGAUAACUUCAGGAAACUGGGGCUAAUAUCGGAUAGGAGCUCCUGCUGCAUGGUGGGGGUUGGAAAGUUUCGGCGGUUGGGGAUGGACUCGCGGCUUAUCAGCUUGUUGGUGGGGUAGUGGCUUACCAAGGCUUUGACGGGUAGCCGGCCUGAGAGGGUGACCGGCCACAUUGGGACUGAGAUACGGCCCAGACUCCUACGGGAGGCAGCAGUGGGGAAUAUUGCACAAUGGGCGGAAGCCUGAUGCAGCAACGCCGCGUGCGGGAUGACGGCCUUCGGGUUGUAAACCGCUUUCGCCUGUGACGAAGCGUGAGUGACGGUAAUGGGUAAAGAAGCACCGGCUAACUACGUGCCAGCAGCCGCAGUAAUAC
rnacentral:rRNA from 1 species